CGGACGAACGGCUGGCGGGCGUGGAUUAGGCAUGCAAGUCGGACGGUAGGGCUUUAUCGUAAGAUAGAGUUUGAGAGUGGCGAACGGGUGAGUAACACGUAGGAAUCUACCCUUAAGACGGGGACAACCCAGGGAAACUUGGGCUAAUACCGGAUGUGAGCAACUUUUAGUUGUUUGAAAGGUGGCGUAAGCUGUCGCUUGGGGAUGAGCCUGCGUCCUAUUAGUUAGUUGGUGAGGUAACGGCUCACCUAGGCAAUGAUAGGUAGGCGGCCUUAACGGGUGGUCGCCCACACUGGGAUUGAGAUACGGCCCAGACUCCUACGGGAGGCAGCAGUCGAGAAUAGUCUACAAUGGUCGGAAGACUGAUAGUGCGACGCCGCGUGAACGAUGAAUCCCUUCGGGGUGUAAAGUUCUUUUAUAUGUGAGCAGUGCUUCUUAUAUUAACAGUAUGGGGAGAGAGAUAUUAGCAUAUGAAUAAGCAACGGCUAACUCCGUG
rnacentral:rRNA from 1 species